rnacentral:miRNA from 1 species
GGGGGUCUUAUUAAAAUGCAGAUUCUGAUACAGUUUGGGUGGGACCUAAGAUUCUGCAUUUCUAACAAACUCCCAGGUUAUGCCAAU